GUUAGUAGCCAAGGAGGUUAGAAUAGAUGGAGUAAGCAUGACGUCACAAAAUUGAAGCCGAGGAAGGAUCGACAGCGUGACGUCACGACUGAUGAGCCAGCAUGGCUGCCGUGUAGCGUACGGAUAAGACGAAAGCUUUGUUUAUAAUUGUAUUAAAACUGCUCAGCCAGAUAAAAUUGGUGAAUGUAGUGAAGGAUGUCAAUCAUUCCCGCUGCUACGCAGCUAAUUUCAUAAGUAAAUGCCAUAAACAGGUAUUUUAGUAUUUCUAUUAUUCUGACUUUAUUGCUACUCGCUAUUAGUUCAGCAUUGCUUUGUUGAUCGUUUCGACCUGAUUUUGAGAAAUAUGGAUAGAUGUGCUGCACCAAAUUGUCAAAUCAUUCUAGAAAUAACUUUAGGAUGUUUUGUUUAGCAAAAAAUGAAAAAAGACGAAGAAGAAGUAAUUCUUUCUGUUCGAGAUCAAUGGAUUUCGGUCGCAGGAGCGUGUUUUUGUGAAGUGCAUUUUGAAGAAAACCAGUUUGAAUGUUCUAGGAAAGAUGGGUUUAAAAAACUAAAGCCUUGUUUAAUGUGCCUAAUCCAACACAACUGUUGACCCCACAGCAUGUAAAAGGCAUUGGGUUUACCAAACUACCAUUCAAUGAUAUCCAGUUUUUAAAAUGUAUGUUUUUUUAAGUUUUAUAGUUUUCAUAAAAAAUGUUUCAUAUUAAAAAUGGACCAAUUUGUUUUAUAAAUAAAUCAAAAUAUUGAAAUUCAGGCAUUAUAUGAUUUAAGCUUUAAUUUCAGUGCUUAAGAAUAGAUUAAAAAUUGAAAUUUUUAAUAGAUAAUAAUUCAUAAUACUGUUUAAAUUUUGCUGUUAUAUAUAUAUAAUUAAAUGUGUAUUUUAUUAUAAUAAUCAUAUUUAAAAUGAGGCAUAAAAGCAACCUCAAUUUGAUAUAGUUUUUGAUUAAAAUUACUGAUUUCGAGGCCUAUCAGACACAGGUCUCAUUUCUUCAGAUUUGCCCCUAAAAAAGAGAAACCUGUAUUUGAUUGCCUUCAAAGUCUACAGAGGUUUGUUCAAAAUCAGGAUUAAACUAAAAUAACUUUUUUGCUUAAUUUUAAAUUUUACAUAUAUAUAGGAAUAUGCAUUAAGUAAGCAAAAGAACAGUAUUAUUGAAAGUAAUAAUUUUGAGUAAUAUAAUAAUAUGGUAAUGUAUGUUUUAAUGUCCUAUAUGUCUUGUCUAAGUCCUCGCUUUCAGAAGUGGGGCUUCAUUGUUUAAAUAAUGUAAAGUCCUUCACCUAUUAUAAAUUUCAGAUUUUACAUAGAAAUAUCAUACAAAGUAAAUUUGCAGUACUCAAUUACAUUAUUGUUUCCAUCAUUAUUGGAUUAAUUUGAAGUUAGUCAUUAAGGUUAAGUAUUUAUAAAAUGUUUGUAUUUUGUUCACAAAAACUUCCAUCAUGUAGCAGUUACUUUUAUGUUAUGGAAGAUAUCAAGCUCUGCUAAAUCAAAUUUACUUUUGUGUGACCUUAAAUCUUAAGCACCAAUCGUAAAUUUGUUUUGGCAUAUUUUUAAGAAUUUGAAUGAAAAAUUUAUUGCUACUGUGAAAGAAUGAUCAACUGAUGUUUACCUUACUAAUCAAUGUCUUACAGUGUUGUAAUGAUUCGCAGGAUUUUUCAUAAUGUGAUGUUGCAUAUAUGUUUUGAUCUUAUCAAAUAAAUAUAAAGAAUGUAUUCCUAAUCA